AAUCACAUAAUGUUAUCCGUGUCAUCCUUACUCGGUUUAUGAUUGUCCAGUACAGGAAUAUGCAAUAUUUUUUUUUAAAUAGUUAAUAACUAUACAAUGUCAUAGUACUUAUGGGAGGAAAAAAAAAUUAAAAAAACCUAUAAUAUAAAAAUUAAUUUAAUGAUAAAAUGCGCUCGCGUAAAAUAAAUUGGUUUGCAUAUACACUAUGAAACGAAUCGCUGAGAGUAUUGACCUUUCAUAAGUGGCGAUGGAAUAUCGUAUAGUUCGAAUGUACA